GAUGAACGCUGGCGGCGUGCCUAAUACAUGCAAGUCGAGCGAACGGACGAUAAUCUUUCUUCUCUGAUUUUAGCGGCGGACGUGUGAGUAACACGUGUAUAACCUACCUAUAUGACUUGUAUAACUUCGGGAAACCGUAGCUAAUACCGGAUAAUAUUUUGAACCGCAUUGUUCAAAAGUGAAAUACGGUCCUUCUGUCUCUUAUAGAUGUAUCCGCGCUGCAUUAGAUAGUUGGUAAGGUAACGGCUUACCAAGGCAACGAUGCAUAGCCGACCUGAGAGGGUGAGCGGAGAAACUGGAAGUGAGACACGGUAAAGACUCCUACGGGAGGAAGCAGUAGGGAAUAGUCCGAAAUGGGCGAAAGCAUGACGGAGCAACGCCGCGUGAGAGAUGAAGGAGUUCGGAUCGUAAAACUCUGUUAUUAGGGAAGAAAAUAUGUGUAAGUAAAUGUGAACAUAUUGACGGUACCUAAUCAGAAAGGAACGGCUAACUACGUG
rnacentral:rRNA from 1 species